AAUUCUUGUAGUACUAGCCAUAGGUCAACCCUACCGUGUUCUUCGACAUUGCCGUCGACGGCGAGCCCUUGGGCCGCGUCUCCUUCGAGCUGUUUGCAGACAAGGUUCCAAAGACAGCAGAAAAUUUUCGUGCUCUGAGCACUGGAGAGAAAGGAUUUGGUUAUAAGGGUUCCUGCUUUCACAGAAUUAUUCCAGGGUUUAUGUGUCAGGGUGGUGACUUCACACGCCAUAAUGGCACUGGUGGCAAGUCCAUCUAUGGGGAGAAAUUUGAAGAUGAGAACUUCAUCCUAAAGCAUACAGGUCCUGGCAUCUUGUCCAUGGCAAAUGCUGGACCCAACACAAAUGGUUCCCAGUUUUUCAUCUGCACUGCCAAGACUGAGUGGUUGGAUGGCAAGCAUGUGGUCUUUGGCAAAGUGAAAGAAGGCAUGAAUAUUGUGGAGGCCAUGGAGCGCUUUGGGUCCAGGAAUGGCAAGACCAGCAAGAAGAUCACCAUUGCUGACUGUGGACAACUCGAAUAA